GUGCAGCAGUCGAGAAACUUUACAAUGUGCGAAAGCACGAUAAGGGAACUCUGAGUGCCUCCUAAGGAGGCUGUUCAGGUGUCUAAAAGCACCUGAAGGAAGGGCUGGGUAAGACCGGUGCCAGCCGCCGCGGUAACACCGGCAGCCCAAGUGGUAGCCACGUUUAUUGGGUCUAAAGCGUCCGUAGCCGGCUGGGUAAGUUCCUUGGGAAAUUUGGCUGCUUAACAGUCAAGCUUUCAGGGAAUACUGCCCGGCUUGGGACCGGGAGAGGUCAGAGGUACUCCAGGGGUAGGGGUGAAAUCCAUUAAUCCUUGGGGGACCACCGGUAGCGAAGGCGUCUGACCAGACCGGGUCCGACGGUGAGGGACGAAGGCUAGGGGCGCGAACCGGAUUAGAUACCCCUGUAGU
rnacentral:rRNA from 1 species